ensembl:lncRNA
GGCGGGUCCUCAAGAGCCUCCCCCACAGCUUGCGUUGAGCCCCGAUGUCUUGCCCACAGCCCAGAGGCGCCGGGGUCAACUGCUGCCAGCCUGCGGCCCAGGGCGGGGGGUCAGCUCCCCGCCCGCAGGGCCGGCGCGACGUGCAGGAGCCUCCCGCGCGCCAGUCUGCACGCCGCGCACGUCCAGUGACCUCACCAUCAUGCGAAGCUGGCAGAGUUCUGAGCACAUCUCCCACUGUCAGGCCCACUGGGUGUCCUGUAGGAGAACCCGUAACAGCAAUGCUGCCCUCUCUUUCCAGAAAUGAAUCGUCUGCUUUAAUCACGGGGGCUCUACAACCAGAGAAUGUCACUGCACUGGGAUUAUUUGCUUUCCGCUCUGCCUGGCAGUCAUGGCUCACCAGCUUGCAGGUCCACACAGGGUCACAUCUCCUUCUGGGGAUCAGGGGUAGGAGUGCUCGUGGCCUGGAACCGAGGUGUGGGGACAGGAGACGGGCAAGCCAAGCAGAACAGCCGUCCAUGAGUCAUGGUUCCAGAACAACCAGCAAAUGGCCAGCACCUGCUCACCCACCCCCUCCCGCACCUGUCAGCCUCACCAGGGGGCUCUGGCCGCUGGACAGGCAGGGUGGGGCCGGCCCAAACUGACCACCCCUCCAGAAGAAAGUGACAGAUGUCAGCACCAGCAGGUCCUGCCCUCCGCAUCAACAGAUGUCAAGACAUGAAAACUUGGGGUAAAUGAAGGGUGCACGAUUAGAUUUGGGCCCAAGCUGGGUUCUUGUGGGUGCCAGAGACAGCUGCAAAGGCACGUCAGGGACAAUCACCCUGAUGCAGUGGGGGCUGCCAGGCCCGUGUGCCCAGGGACAGCUGGACGAGGUGCUGACAUGGGGCUCCUUCCUCUGAAGCCGUCCCGCAGCUGCUGGGAGUGCCGCCAGCUGUGAGCUUGUGCGCCUCGGCUCCAGGGCCGUGCUGGGGGAGCUGCAGGCGGACCCACCUAGGGGUUCCUGGGACACUAGCCCAUCUUGAGCUGAGAGCUCCUCUCAGGGGAGCUCCCUUUCUCCCCUCCCCUCCCCUUCUUGGCCCUUUCUGGCUCUGUCCAGGUGGGGCUCAGCUCCAGGUCUCUUGAAACCAGCCCGGAGGGCAGUCAGGCCUCCUCUCAGCACCUCUGGCCUCUCCUGUAUCUUGGCUUGUUUUCAUAUAGUUUUUUCCUUGAAAAUGUAGGUUCAGGAGCCUCCCCCAGGCUCCUGGCGUUGGUGAACAGCUGCUUCAUAGAGACCCCAGCAUGCAGGCGCUGAGCGGUGGGGCGAGAGGAAAGCAUCUCGGUGCCCCGACCCAGCACCAGGCCCCGGCCCUCCGGCUUGGGGUUUGCAGAAGAGGUGUGUUUUAGAGUGGGGCAUCUUCGCGGGGCACAAGAUGUACCCAUGUCUGAAUAUUAUUUUAAAACUGUUAGUUGCUCUCUAGCAUAGAUGAAGAUGUAAGUUUAAAUGAAGAUGUAAGUAUAAAUGACAUGACUUAUUCCAACAGGUAAAAGCAAUGCCUUUUUAGGUGAUUCUGAAACAAGGACCAGAGCAGAUUUUUUUUUUUAAUUUUGGUGAAAUUCACAUAGCAUAAAAUUAAGUUUUUUUAGGUGUACAAUUCAGUAGCAUUUAGUACAUUCACCAUGUUGUGCAAGCAUCACCUCUAUUUAGUUCUACAAUAUCUUCAUCACCCUACAAGGAAACCCUGUCCCUGUUAGCAGUCACUCCUCAUCCCCCUCCCCCAGUCCCUGGGAACCACUGAUCUAAUUUCUGUCUCUGUGGAUUUGCUUAUUCUGGAUGUUUCAUAUAAAUGGAA